rnacentral:rRNA from 1 species
GAUAAAAGUAUGUCCUGUCAAAUGGAUUGAUCUCGUCCGAUCUCGGAAGCCAAGCAGGGUCGGGCCUGGUUAGUACUUGGAUGGGAGACCGCCUGGGAAUACCAGGUGCUGUAAGCU